rnacentral:rRNA from 1 species
GUAGGUGGCAAGCGUCGUCCGGAAUUAUUGGGCGUAAAGCGCGCGCAGGCGGUUCUUUAAGUCUGAUGUGAAAGCCCACGGCUCAACCGUGGAGGAUCAUUGGAAACUGGAGAACUUGAGUACAGAAGAGGAAAGCGGAAUUCCACGUGUAGCGGUGAAAUGCGUAGAGAUGUGGAGGAACACCAGUGGCGAAGGCGGCUUUCUGGUCUGUAACUGACGCUGAGGCGCGAAAGCGUGGGGAGCAAACAGGAUUAGAUACCCUGGUAGUCCACGCCGUAAACGAUGAGUGCUAAGUGUUAGGGGGGUUUCCGCCCCCCUUAGUGCUGCAGCUAACGCAUUAAGCACUCCGCCUGGGAGUACGGCCGCAAGGCUG